rnacentral:rRNA from 1 species
AUUGAACGCUGGCGGCAGGCCUAACACAUGCAAGUCGAGCGGAUGAAGGGAGUUUGCUCCUGGAUUCAGCGGCGGACGGGUGAGUAAUGCCUAGGAAUCUGCCUGGUAGUGGGGGAUAACGUCCGGAAACGGGCGCUAAUACCGCAUACGUCCUGUGGGAGAAAGUGGGGGAUCUUCGGACCUCACGCUAUCAGAUGAGCCUAGGUCGGAUUAGCUAGUUGGUGGGGUAAAGGCCUACCAAGGCGACGAUCCGUAACUGGUCUGAGAGGAUGAUCAGUCACACUGGAACUGAGACACGGUCCAGACUCCUACGGGAGGCAGCAGUGGCGAAUAUUGGACAAUGGGCGAAAGCCUGAUCCAGCCAUGCCGCGUGUGUGAAGAAGGUCUUCGGAUUGUAAAGCACUUUAAGUUGGGGGGAAGGGCAGUAAGUUAAUACCUUGCUGUUUUGACGUUACCAACAGAAUAAGCACCGGCUAACUUCGUG